rnacentral:rRNA from 1 species
GAUGAACGCUGGCGGCGUGCCUAAUACAUGCAAGUCGAGCGAACGGACGAGAAGCUUGCUUCUCUGAUGUUAGCGGCGGACGCGUGAGUAACACGUGGAUAACCUACCUAUAAGACUGGGAUAACUUCGGGAAACCGGAGCUAAUACCGGAUAAUAUUUUGAACCGCAUGGUUCAAAAGUAAAAGACGGUCUUGCUGUCACUUAUAGAUGGAUCCGCGCUGCAUUAGCUAGUUGGUAAGGUAACGGCUUACCAAGGCAACGAUGCAUAGCCGACCUGAGAGGGUGAUCGGCCACACUGGAACUGAGACACGGUCCAGACUCCUACGGGAGGCAGCAGUAGGGAAUCUUCCGCAAUGGGCGAAAGCCUGACGGAGCAACGCCGCGUGAGUGAUGAAGGUCUUCGGAUCGUAAAACUCUGUUAUUAGGGAAGAACAUAUGUGUAAGUAACUGCGCACAUCUUGACGGUACCUAAUCAGAAAGCCACGGCUAACUACGUG